GCUGAGUCUGGUGGCACAUGCCUGUAAUUCCAGCUACUAGGGAGGCUGAGGCAGGAUGAUUGCAAGUUUGAGACCAGCUUCAGCAACUUUGCUAGACCCUGUCUCAA
rnacentral:sRNA from 1 species